GCACCCCUGGGUUCAAUCCCCAGUGCCUAAACAAAGAAACAAAUAAAAAGUUAUUUUUCUGAAAACACAUGCCUCCAGUUCUAGUAACAGACUUUGGAAACACUGUUCUCAUUCAAGUAGCUUUAUUGAGAUAAUUUUCAUAUAGCAUAGAGCUCACCCAUUUAAUGUGCACAAGUCCCUGGAUUUGGUAUAUUUCUGGAUAUGUACCAUCACUACAGUCAAUUUUAGAACUUUUUUUCCCUCAAGAAGAAACCUCUUAGCUAUCACUGCCCUCCCCAUUCCCCCGCUCCUCCCCCAGCCCUAAGCAUCUACUAAUUUAAUUUCUGACCCGGAGAUUUCCCUAUUUUGGACCUUGAUAUGGUGGGAUUUAAAAAUGCGUGGUCUUUUGUGUGUAGGCUUCUUUUACUGGUGCACUGUUUUCAGCUCCCAGCUCUCUGCUGCUUCAUUCCUUGUCUGACCAAGCCACUGUGAGGUGGUGUCACAUUUGUUUGUUCAUUUGUCCAUUGAUAGACACUGUGUUUCCACCUCUUGGCCAUUAUGAAUGAGGCUGCCAUAAAUGUUUUUAUAUAAGUUCUUUGGAGAGGUAUGUUUUAAUUUCUCCUGGUUUUAUGUUUUGGGCUGGAACUGCUGGGUUGUGUGGUAUCUCCAUAUUUAACUGUUGAAGGAACUGGUUGCUGAAGGGCCGUACCAUUUGGCAUUUCUCCCGGCAGUGCCCAGGGUUCCGAUCUCUCACCAACACUCAGGAUUGUCCAUGCCUUUGGCUUGUUUGUUUGUUUGUUGGAUCACAGCCAUCUUACUGGAUGUGAAAUAGUCUCUCAUGUGGUUGGGAUUUGCAUUUCCCUAAUGACUAAUGUCAUGGAGCAGCUUUUACUGUGCUUUCUGAAAAUAAUUUUUUUUAGGUGCUGAUGAACCUUUAUUUUUUUAAAAUAUUUUUAUUAGUUAUAGAUGGACACAAUUCCUUUAUUUUAUUUAUUUUUUAUGUGAUGCUGAGAAUCGAACCCAGUGCUUCACACAUGC
rnacentral:lncRNA from 1 species